rnacentral:rRNA from 1 species
GUAGGUGGCAAGCGUUGUCCGGAAUUAUUGGGCGUAAAGCGCGCGCAGGCGGUUCUUUAAGUCUGAUGUGAAAGCCCACGGCUCAACCGUGGAGGGUCAUUGGAAACUGGAGAACUUGAGUACAGAAGAGGAAAGCGGAAUUCCACGUGUAGCGGUGAAAUGCGUAGAGAUGUGGAGGAACACCAGUGGCGAAGGCGGCUUUCUGGUCUGUAACUGACGCUGAGGCGCGAAAGCGUGGGGAGCAAACAGGAUUAGAUACCCUGGUAGUCCGCGCCGUAAACGAUGAGUGCUAAGUGUUAGGGGGUUUCCGCCCCCCUUAGUGCUGCAGCUAACGCAUUAAGCACUCCGCCUGGGAGUACGGCCGCAGGCUG